rnacentral:sRNA from 1 species
GCCGGGCUUGGUGGCUCACGCCUGUAAUCCCAGCAGCUAGGGAGGCUGAGGCAGGAGGAUUGCAAGUUCAAAGCCAGCCUCAGCAAAAGAGAGGUGCUAAGCAACUCAGUGAGACCCUGUCUCUA